rnacentral:rRNA from 1 species
AUUCCUACGGGAGGCAGCAGUGAGGAAUCUUCCACAAUGGACGAAAGUCUGAUGGAGCAACUCCGCGUGCAGGAUGAAGGCCUUCGGGUCGUAAACUGCUUUUAUGAGUGAAGAAUAUGACGGUAACUCAUGAAUAAGGGUCGGCUAACUACGUGCCAGCAGCCGCGGUCAUACGUAGGACCCAAGCGUUAUCCGGAGUGACUGGGCGUAAAGAGUUGCGUAGGUGGUUUGUUAAGCGAAUAGUGAAAUCUGACGGCUCAACCGUACAGACUACUAAUUCGAACUGGCAAACUCGAGAAUGGUAGAGGUAACUGGAAUUUCUGAAGUAGGGGUAAUAUCCGUAGAUAUCAGAAGGAACACCAAUGGCGUAGGCAGGUUACUGGACCAUUUCUGACACUGAGGCACGAAAGCGUGGGGAGCGAACCGGAUUAGAUACCCGGGUAGUCCACGCCGUAAACGAUGGAUACUAGCUGUUGGAGGUAUCGACCCCUUCAGUAGCGAAGCUAACGCGUUAAGUAUCCCGCCUGUGGAGUACGGUCGCAAGACUAAAACAUAAAGGAAUUGACGGGGACCCGCACAAGCGGUGGAUUAUGUUCUUUAAUUCGAUGAUAAACGAAGAACCUUACCAGGGCUUGACAUCCUUGGAAUUACUACGAAAGUAGUGAGUGCUUUAUUGAGCCAAGUGACAGGUGUUGCAUGGCCGUCGUCAGCUCGUGUCGUGAGAUGUUUGGUUAAGUCCAUUAACGAGCGCAACCCUUGUGAUUAGUUGUAUUUUUCUAAUCAGACUGCCCCGGUAACGGGGAGGAAGGAGGGGAUGACGUCAGGUCAGUAUUACCCUUACGCCCUGGGCUAGAAACGUAAUACAAUGGCCGGUACAAUGCGCCGCGAAGCCGCGAGGUGGAGCAAAUCGCAUCAAAGCCGGUCCCAGUUCGGAUUGUAGGCUGAAACUCGCCUGCAUGAAGUCGGAAUCGCUAGUAAUCGCAGAUCAGCAAGCUGCGGUGAAUACGUUCCCGGGCCUUGUACACACCGCC